rnacentral:rRNA from 1 species
CCAGGCAGUGAACCGGUACGGCGGGUUGAUUACGUCCCUGCCCUUUAUUUAAGUUUCGGCAAUUACUUUGAUGGAAACCAAUUUAAUCGCAGUGGCUUGAACCGGGCAAAAGUCGUAACAAGGUAGCUGUAGGUGAACCUGCUGCUGGAUCAUUACUUUAUGUGAUGUUCAAAUUUGAAUUCGCAAUGAAAUGAUCGUUGUGAAACGGCUGUCGCUGGUGUCUAAGUGUUGCUGAUACGGUUGUGAACGUCCGUGGCUGUAUAUGUGGUGACAUGUUAGGACUCUAAUGAGUUUAAGACCUAAUGAGCCUCUUAAGUGAGGCCGCCAGCAACCUUUUUUUUCUCUACAUUUUAAAAAAAAAACUAAAAUUCUACCCUUAUCGGUGGAUCACUAGGCUCGUGGAUCGAUGAAAAACGCACCAAACUGCGAUAAUUAUUGCGAACUGCAGAAGUAUUGAGCACAAAAGUUUUGAACGCAAAUGGCCGCAUUGAGGUCAAACUCUUUGCAACGUCGGGUUCAGGGUCAUUUUCUCUUAUAGCGGAAGCUUUAAUUUCUAUAAUGAUGUUGUUGCUUUAUAUUUUAAAAGGAUUUUUGUUUAUUCAUGUAUUAAAUCUAACUGUGAAAAUCAAACAAUUUUGACCUGAACUCAGUCGAGAGCACCCCGCUGAACUUAAGCAUAUCAUUAAGCGGAGGAAAAGAAACUAAAUAGGAUUCCCUUAGUACUGCCCUGUGCCGACACCCCUUUUUACCGGGGGGUUGCACCUCCUCCCUGCCUUGAGAUGAGAAGAUCAGGAGGUCCAUUUUCAUGGGGGGGUACAUGAACUGCCCUGUCGCUGACCUGAUCCCCACCCGAUUUAUACUCCACCCG